rnacentral:rRNA from 1 species
AGCAUGACCGUAAGGACAUGUGGACAGUAUACGAGUGAGAAUGUUGGCAUGAGUAGCGAGACGUGGGUGAGAAUCCCACGGGCCGUAAACCCAAGGUUUCCAGGGGAAGGUUCGUCCGCCCUGGGUUAGUCGGGACCUAAGCCGAGGCCGAAAGGCGUAGGUGAUGGACAACAGGUUGAUAUUCCUGUACCGCCAAUAAGCGUUUGAGAGAUGGAGUGACACAGUAGGAUAAGCUAACCGUACUGUUGGUUAUGUACGGCUAAGCAUUGAGGCAGUCUAAAUAGGCAAAUCCGUUUAGACAAUGCUAGGAUGUGAUGGGGAAGCCCUUCGGGGCGAAGUAGCUGAUUUCACACUGUCAAGAAAAGCUUCUAUCGAGUUUAAAGGCGCCCGUACCGUAAACCGACACAGGUGGGUGAGGAGAGUAUCCUAGGGCCAGCGAGAGAACUAUUGUUAAGGAACUCGGCAAAAUGACCCCGUAACUUAGGGAGAAGGGGUGCCUGUCUAUGACAGGCCGCAGAGAAUAGGCCCAAGCGACUGUUUACCAAAAACACAGGUUUCUGCUAAGUCGCAAGACGAUGUAUAGGAGCUGACGCCUGCCCGGUGCUGGAAGGUUAAGGGGAUCUGUUAGAGCAAUCGAAGCAGUGAACUUAAGCCCCAGUAAACGGCGGCCGUAACAAUAACGGUCCUAAGGUAGCGAAAUUCCUUGUCGGGUAAGUUCCGACCCGCACGAAAGGCGUAACGAAUUGGGCACUGUCUCAACAAUAGACACGGUGAAAUUGUAAUCCCGGUGAAGAUGCCGGGUACCUGCGACAGGACGGAAAGACCCCAUGGAGCUUUACUGUAGCUUGACGUUGGGUCUUGGUACUACAUGUACAGGAUAGGUGGGAGACUAUGAAGCAUGGACGCCAGUCUGUGUGGAGUCAUCCUUGGGAUACCACCCUUGUAGUACUGGGAUCCUAACCAUAGGCCUUGAAUCAGGUCUUGGAACACCGUCAGGUGGGCAGUUUGACUGGGGCGGUCGCCUCCUAAAAAGUAACGGAGGCGCUCAAAGGUUUCCUCAGCACGGUCGGAAAUCGUGCGAAGAGUGUAAAGGCAAAAGGAAGCUUGAUUGCAAGACAUACAGGUCGAGCAAGGACGAAAGUCGGACUUAGUGAUCCGGUGGUACCGCAUGGAAGGGCCAUCGCUCAACGGAUAAAAGCUACCCUGGGGAUAACAGGCUUAUCUCCCCCAAGAGUCCACAUCGACGGGGAGGUUUGGCACCUCGAUGUCGGCUCAUCACAUCCUGGGGCUGUAGUAGGUCCCAAGGGUUGGGCUGUUCGCCCAUUAAAGUGGUACGCGAGCUGGGUUCAGAACGUCGUGAGACAGUUCGGUCCCUAUCCGUCGCAGGCGUAGGAAAUUUGAGAAGACCUGUCCUUAGUACGAGAGGACCGGGAUGGACGUACCUCUGGUGUACCAGUUGUUCUGCCAAGGGCAUGGCUGGGUAGCUAUGUACGGAUGGAUAAGCGCUGAAAGCAUCUAAGCGCGAAGCCAACUUCAAGAUAAGAUUUCCCACCGUAAGGGUAAGACCCCAGGAAGACUACCUGGUUGAUGGGUCGAAGGUGUAAGUGCAGUAAUGUACUUAGCUUAUCGAUACUAAUAGGUCGAGGACUUGACC